rnacentral:rRNA from 1 species
CACUGCCGAGAAAAGCCUCUAGAUAGAAAAUAGGUGCCCGUACCGCAAACCGACACAGGUAGUCAAGAUGAGAAUUCUAAGGUGAGCGAGCGAACUCUCGUUAAGGAACUCGGCAAAAUGACCCCGUAACUUCGGGAGAAGGGGUGCUCUUUAGGGUUAACGCCCAGAAGAGCCGCAGUGAAUAGGCCCAAGCGACUGUUUAUCAAAAACACAGGUCUCUGCUAAACCGUAAGGUGAUGUAUAGGGGCUGACGCCUGCCCGGUGCUGGAAGGUUAAGAGGAGUGGUUAGCUUCUGCGAAGCUACGAAUCGAAGCCCCAGUAAACGGCGGCCGUAACUAUAACGGUCCUAAGGUAGCGAAAUUCCUUGUCGGGUAAGUUCCGACCCGCACGAAAGGCGUAACGAUUUGGGCACUGUCUCAACGAGAGACUCGGUGAAAUCAUAGUACCUGUGAAGAUGCAGGUUACCCGCGACAGGACGGAAAGACCCCGUGGAGCUUUACUGUAGCCUGAUAUUGAAAUUCGGCACAGCUUGUACAGGAUAGGUAGGAGCCUUUGAAACGUGAGCGCUAGCUUACGUGGAGGCGCUGGUGGGAUACUACCCUAGCUGUGUUGGCUUUCUAACCCGCACCACUUAUCGUGGUGGGAGACAGUGUCAGGCGGGCAGUUUGACUGGGGCGGUCGCCUCCUAAAAGGUAACGGAGGCGCUCAAAGGUUCCCUCAGAAUGGUUGGAAAUCAUUCAUAGAGUGUAAAGGCAUAAGGGAGCUUGACUGCGAGACCUACAAGUCGAGCAGGGUCGAAAGACGGACUUAGUGAUCCGGUGGUUCCGCAUGGAAGGGCCAUCGCUCAACGGAUAAAAGCUACCCCGGGGAUAACAGGCUUAUCUCCCCCAAGAGUUCACAUCGACGGGGAGGUUUGGCACCUCGAUGUCGGCUCAUCGCAUCCUGGGGCUGUAGUCGGUCCCAAGGGUUGGGCUGUUCGCCCAUUAAAGCGGUACGCGAGCUGGGUUCAGAACGUCGUGAGACAGUUCGGUCCCUAUCCGUCGUGGGCGUAGGAAAUUUGAGAGGAGCUGUCCUUAGUACGAGAGGACCGGGAUGGACAUACCUCUGGUGUACCAGUUGUCGUGCCAACGGCAUAGCUGGGUAGCUAUGUGUGGACGGGAUAAGUGCUGAAAGCAUCUAAGCAUGAAGCCCCCCUCAAGAUGAGAUUUCCCAACUUCGGUUAUAAGAUCCCUCAAAGAUGAUGAGGUUAAUAGGUUCGAGGU